UUUGUCCAUGACCUGUAUCGUUGAUCUGGUGCAAUAUGGCAGGUGCAAUGGACGAUGCACUUGAAGAAUUACAGCGUGAAAAAAAGAUGCGAAAGCUCCAAGAACUAUUCCGAGGUCGUUUUUCCGAAGUUCAGGCGCGUCGCUUACUGACACAUCACGGUUGGGCUCUAGAGAUUACCGUGGAUUUUGUAUUUGAGGCACAACACAAUCAAGUUAAAGAAAUUGCUGGAACUGAAGAUGACAGGGUACUAAGUAUUUACUAAGUCAUUUUAGAUUAUUCUUGUACCUUUUAAUGUCUACAAUUUUGAUGCGUUUCUUACUUAUGAUGACUAUACAAAUCAAUUUUAGUGGUUGGAAGUGUUAAACAGGCGAGCUUGGCGGGAGUUAGCCAGGCAGAAGCGAAUUGAUUCUAUUGAUAUUAGACAGUUCGCUUGCCGUCCUUGUGACUCGGUCUGGUGGAGACGAGUGCCCGGAAGAAAGAUGGUGUCGAAAUGUCACCGGUGUAGAAUUAGGUAUGAUGCAGUACCCAAAGAAAGCGAGUGGGGCGUUGCAGAAUUUACUUGUGGAAAUUGUGGCAAUGUGUUCAAAGGAUUUGGACAAAUGAACAACACGUUUAGUCCGUGUUAUGUUUGCAACGACAUUGCUCAACCAUCAAAAAUAUUUCCAAAGAUGCGUCCAUCUGGAGAGCGCCGUAGACAUACACAUUCCUGUUAUGCAAGCAAUUGCUUCAAUCGAGCAGAUGGAGACAUAUUGCCUGGUAUCUGCGUCCACCCAAAGUCCCUAGGUCGAAAAGUGGUCACACCCAGUGAUCAGCACAUCAGCUCUGGGUCGACUGUCGACACAUUCCUCACCCAGGACGACCUCGCAUCCAUUUCAUCCGCCAGUUCUCGUCCCAAUCUCUCAGAUAUUGAUGAAGAUAACUGAUUGUUUUUUGUUCGAUACAAUAUGUAUCUGUGAUAUUAUAUUGCAAUAUGACUUCUCCGGUGAUUCCGUCUAUACCACAAGUGUUUUACGUAAAGUUAUUAACUGCGACAUUGGAAAAGAUAGUCAUUAAAUGAAGCUCAUAUAUUUUUAAGUAAAAAACCAGGCAGCAACAGUUUAAGAUCUAUAGUUAAAUAAUGUAUUUUAUAGAUAAAGCCAUCGGACAGUUUUUAUUUUUAUUUUUAUGUUGUAUAAAGAAUGUAUUGAAGUUCAGCACGACAUUGAAUUAAAUACAUGUAUUUAA
rnacentral:misc_RNA from 1 species